AUUGAACGCUGGCGGCAUGCCUUACACAUGCAAGUCGAACGGCAGCACGGGAGCAAUCCUGGUGGCGAGUGGCGAACGGGUGAGUAAUAUAUCGGAACGUGCCCAGUCGUGGGGAUAACGUAGCGAAAGCUACGCUAAUACCGCAUACGAUCUAUGGAUGAAAGCGGGGGAUCGCAAGACCUCGCGCGAUUGGAGCGGCCGAUAUCAGAUUAGGUAGUUGGUGAGGUAAAGGCGUCACCAAGCCGACGAUCUGUAGCUGGUCUGAGAGGACGACCAGCCACACUGGGACUGAGACACGGCCCAGACUCCUACGGGAGGCAGCAGUGGGGAAUUUUGGACAAUGGGCGCAAGCCUGAUCCAGCAAUGCCGCGUGCAGGAUGAAGGCCU
rnacentral:rRNA from 1 species